UACGUAGGCAGCGAGCGUUGUUCGGAGUUACUGGGCGUAAAGGGUGUGUAGGCGGUUGUUUAAGUUUGGUGUGAAAUCUCCCGGCUCAACUGGGAGGUGCGCCGAAUACUGAAUGACUUGGAGUGCGGGAGAGGAGAGUGGAAUUCCUGGUGUAGCGGUGAAAUGCGUAGAUAUCGGGGAGGAACACCUGUGGUGUAGACGGCUAUCUGGACGGCGACUGACGCUGAGACACGAAAGCGUGGGUAGCAAACAGG
rnacentral:rRNA from 1 species